GACGAACGCUGGCGGCGUGCUUAACACAUGCAAGUCGAACGGAAAGGCCCCUUUGGGGGUCCUCGAGUGGCGAACGGGUGCGUAACACGGGGGUAACCUGCCCUUGACUUCGGGAUAACUUCAGGAAACUGGGGCUAAUACCGGAUAGGAAUCCUUGCUGCAUGGUGGGGGUUGGAAAGCUUCGGGGGUGUUGGAUGGACUCGCGGCCUAUCAGCUUGUUGGUGGGAUAGUGGCUUACCAAGGCUUUGACGGGUAGCCGGCCUGAGAGUGCGACCGGCGACCUUGAGACUGAGAUGAGGCACAGACUCCUACGGUAGGAAGCAGGGGGGAAGAUUGCACCAUGGGCGGAGGCCUGAUGCAGCAACGCCGCGUGCGGGAUGACGGCCUUCUGGUGGUAAAACGGUUUCAGCAGGAGCGACGCUUGUGGUGACGGUACCUGCAGAAGAAGCACCGGCUAACUACGUG
rnacentral:rRNA from 1 species